UACAGAGGGUGCAAGCGUUGUCCGGAAUUAUUGGGCGUAAAGAGCUCGUAGGCGGUGUGUCGCGUCGGCCGUGAAAACCUGGGGCUCAACUCUGGGCGUGCGGUCGAUACGGGCAUCACUUGAGUUCGGCAGGGGAGACUGGAAUUCCUGGUGUAGCGGUGAAAUGCGUAGAUAUCAAGUGGAACACCAGUGGCGAAGGCGAGUCUCUGGACAUUUCCUGACGCUGAGGCACGAAAGCCAGGGGAGCAAACGGG
rnacentral:rRNA from 1 species